UCAGGAGAUCCUUCCACAUCCAUCAGGCUCUAGAACACCUCGGUCUGGAUCAGUGGCUCAUGAUCUGUUGGCUGCUAGAACCUUUUACCCACCAGAACCCUCUCAUUUCUAUCUACACCGCUGGUACCAUAGAGUUCUGUACUCUUACAACACAAUUUUAUUGCAAACACCAUCUUAUUGUAAAUACCAACAAUGUUGCACAUUUCUGUAAACCGGAUGUUUUCAGGAACCUUAAUGCCAUCUCUUCCACGAGCACAAUUUGUUCAUUGACAGUUCUGUUAUUAGCUAUUGGAUACUUUGAAAUUUUCCCAAGGGGAUGAAUUGUCUGUCUGUCUGUCUGUCUAUCCAUCUUCAUUUAGAUGGAACCAAUAACAGCUUUAUGAUGCAGCAUUUUGAGCACAUUUUACUAAAUAAAAAUCAAACAUUUGCAAAACCAGGAAAAAAACAAGAUACAGAAAAACAAAUACUCUUAGCAGUUUUACAGUACACACUGCUUUGUGGUACUUGUGUGGAACAGUACUGCAGUAUAGUGCAGUAUUUAAGAGGAGUAGUACUGUGGAUUUACAGUCAUGAACACGUUUCCAUCCACCUAUAAAGUCGCUGUUCAUUAGUCAGUCAUUAGUUCCCAAUAACUCAGAAUUGUCUAGGAUGGAAUCACUGAAACACAUGAAUCUUUGUCAUGAAAAACAGUUAUGUAUUUUAGUUCUUUUAUAGAUUUAUGAUAGAGCUUCUAGAAAUAUGACUCUCUUAAGGUGGUCAGAUGUCUCAUCAUCUAGUUAGUGAAUGGAUGAAUGAGUUCCCACAGUACCUACCUAGUGUCUAAUAAUCUAACAUCUAAUACUAUCUAACCACUGCAAAGGGAACAUCCUUGGUAGAAUCAUCAGGGAAACAUGACCCUGUUGAGCUGGACAGGCUGAAAAAUAUACAAACAGAAAUGCUAAUAUUUGGUUAAAUUUGUCCAUUUCCACCUCAGUUUGGUUCUUUGGUUCCCGUCUACAAUCUUCUAGUUUAUCUUUGACUCCUCUGGACAGAACUGGCUCCCUAAAUGUGUUGUGUUUCUGACUCAGACUUGUUUCUUCAUCAGUCCGCAGGUUCUUGAUGGGUCUAAGUCAGGACUUUGGGGAGACCAGUCCAGAACCUUCAUUCUAGCCUGAUGGAAUCAUUUCUUUACCACGUCUGAUGUGUGUUUGGACUCAUUGUCUGGUUGAAACAUCCAACUGUGUCCAAGAUCAACCUUCUGCUGAUGGUUUUAGGUUCUCCUGAAGAACGUGGAGGUGAUGCUCCUUCUUCAUUAUUCCAUUUACUUUGUGGAAAGCUCCAGUUCUAGAGAGAAUGAUACUGCCACCUCCAUGCUUGAUGGUAGGUUUAGUGUUCUUGGGGUUAAAGACCUCAUGUUCAGUUUUUGUUCCAUCUGACCACAGAACUUUCCUCCAGAGCCUUUUCUUUGUCCAUGUGAUGAGUGGAGCUUUAAGGUUCUGCUUCUAGAGGAAGAACUUCCUUCUUCAUGAAUCCUCUAGAACCCUGUGGACACUGACAGUUGUGUUCCAGCAGCUUCUCAUUCAUCCAGAUCUGCUUUCUGAUGGUUUCUGGUUGACUCGUGACCAUCCUGACCAAUCAUCUCUCAGCAGCAGGUGAUAGUUUGUGUUUUCUUCCUGAUGGUGGCAGUAACACACCUGGACCAUGAACUUUAUUCUGACAAACAGAUGAUUCUGGAUCUGAAGCUGCUUUGAAAUGGCUCCAAGUGACUUUCUGACUUGUUCAAGUCAAUGAUUUUCUUCUUCAAAUCUUUGCUGAGCUCCUCAGAUGUUCCCCCUGUACUGUUUGAGUCUAAUGAGUGGAUCUAAUGGUUCUAUUUAACUUGGAUCAGAGGAGUCAGCAGCUGCAGUCAACUGGAGUCACUCAUGAAACUAAGAAAAUUUGAUAAACACAACUUUUUACAUCAGUAAACCUGACAAUUCAAAUCGCUGUUUGUAUAUUUUUGACCCAACAGUUUUUUGUCAUACACUAUAUGGCCAAAAGUAUUGGCUCACCCAUCCAAAUAAUCAGAAUCAGGUGUUCCAAUCACUUCCAUGUCCACAGGUGUAUAAAAUCAAGCACCUAGGCUACAGACUGCUUUUACAAACAUUUGUGAAAGAAUGGGUCGCUCUCAGGAGCUCAGUGAAUUCCAGCGUGGAACUGUGAUAGGAUGCCACCUGUGCAACAAAUCCAGUCGUGACAUUUCCUGGCUCCUAAAUAUUCCACAGUCAACUGUCAGCUGUAUUAUAAGAAAGU
ensembl:lncRNA